AGGGGCGAGCGCAGAGCCCGGCCGGCCGCGAAGCCCCGCGCCCACGACGCAUGCGCCGGGAGCGAGCGCAAUCACGGACUCGGCCGGCGGCUACCGGCCGGAGAGAGGAAACCCCGGCCGGCGAGAGCGCGAAGGAAACCUGGCCGCCGCCGCCGCCGCGCGCGCUCCCGUGAAAGAAAAGCACAAGAAGAAACUUUUACAGGCGAUGUUGAUUUGACAAGGACACUGAUCCCCGAAAUCACAGGAAAGAGUUUUGAUGGUCAGUUCUACGGAGGAAGGCCCGUGGGUUUUGGAGAUUCCAUUCUACAGAUCUAAAAAGUGAAAAAGGAGAAGUACAAAUGUCUACCACA
rnacentral:lncRNA from 1 species